rnacentral:rRNA from 1 species
AUUGAACGCUGGCGGCAGGCCUAACACAUGCAAGUCGAGCGAGCGGCGGACGGGUGAGUAAUGUCUGGGAAACUGCCUGAUGGAGGGGGAUAACUACUGGAAACGGUAGCUAAUACCGCAUAUCACCAGAUGUGCCCAGGUGGGUUUAGCUAGUUGGUGGGGUAACGGCUCACCUAGGCGACGAUCCCUAGCUGGUCUGUGAGGAUGACCGGCCACACUGGAACUGAGACACGAUCCAGACUCCUACGGAGGGCAGCAGUGGGGAUUAUUGCACAAUGGGCGCAAGCCUGAUGCAGCCAUGCCGCGUGUGUGAAGAAGGCCUUCGGGUUGUAAGGCACUUUCAGCGGGGAGGCGUUACCCGCAGAAGAAGCACCGGCUAACUCCGUGCCAGCAGCCGCGGUAAUAC